rnacentral:rRNA from 1 species
CCGCGGGAUUAGAGUUUGAUCCUGGCUCAGAACGAACGCUGGCGGCGUGGAUAAGACAUGCAAGUCGAGCGCUGAUUUCAGGGUAGCAAUAUUCUGGAGUCGGAGCGGCGCAAGGGUGCGUAACACGUGGGCAAUCUGCCGUGAAGUUUGGGAUAACUUGCUGAAAGGCGAGCUAAUACCGGAUGUGACCAUCGGGAGGCAUCUCCUGAGGGUUAAAGUUGGGGACCGUAAGGCCUGACGCUUCAUGAUGAGCCCGCGGCCUAUCAGCUAGUUGGUGAGGUAACGGCUCACCAAGGCUAAGACGGGUAGCUGGUCUGAGAGGACGACCAGCCACACUGGAACUGAGACACGGUCCAGACACCUACGGGUGGCAGCAGUCGAGAAUUUUUCACAAUGGGCGCAAGCCUGAUGGAGCGACGCCGCGUGGGGGAUGAAUGGCUUCGGCCCGUAAACCCCUGUCAUUUGCGAUCAAACCUCAUUAUUUAAAAGAUGAUGAGCUGAUAGUAGCGAAAGAGGAAGGGACGGCUAACUCUGUGCCAGCAGCCGCGGUAAUACAGAGGUCCCGAGCGUUGUUCGGAUUCACUGGGCGUAAAGGGUGCGUAGGUGGUGAGGUAAGUCGGAUGUGAAAGCUCGGAGCUCAACUCCGAAAUGGCAUUGGAAACUACCUUGCUAGAGGGUUGGAGGGGGGACUGGAAUGCUUGGUGUAGCAGUGAAAUGCGUAGAUAUCAAGCGGAACACCAGUGGCGAAGGCGAGUCCCUGGACAACUCCUGACACUGAGGCACGAAAGCUAGGGGAGCAAACAGGAUUAGAUACCCUGGUAGUCCUAGCCGUAAACGGUGCAUGUUUGCUGUAAA